rnacentral:lncRNA from 1 species
CAGUAUCAAAUAUCAGUUUCAUAACAGUAAAAUAUAGGAAAACUCCACUUCAGUUCUUAUAUGACGCAUUUAUCAAAACUUGGUAAUUCCCUCUGACGUGUUUCUAAAUUUAUAAAAACACUAAAUAUAAAUACUGCUUAAUUCUGAUUUUCCGUUUGGUUAAAAACACGCAUAUAAGUCAAGGGAAAUAUCAAACAUGAAGAUUAUGAGAAGAACAUUUCAGGAAAGUUGUUUAUGUUCAAUUCUUUUGCUUGUUUUUACCUUUUAAAGCAAGACAAUCAUAAGAAUCUGAGAUGUUGUUGAAUGUUUAGAAUAAAACGGUUGACGUGAGGGAAUGCAGCCCUGAGUCUAC